ensembl:lncRNA
AGGUAGACAGCUCAGUGAAGUUUUUCGUGUUUCCACCUUUGUAACAACCGCCAGGAGCAGGACCCAGAGCACGACCUGACCCCAGAAGCUUCUUCCCUCACGCCCCUUCUUAGUCCAUGCCAUCACCAUCCAUACCAGAAGUAACCUCUGUUCUGAGUUUACCACCAGAGGCUCCUCUGUCCUUGGGAUUCUCCUGGCAAGAAUUCUGGAAGUGAAAAGUGAAGUCACUCAGUCGUGUCCGACUCCUUGCGACUCCAUGGACUGUAGCCUACCAGGCUCAUCCGUCCAUGGGAUUUUCCAGAGCCUUCUUAUAAGGACACGGGCCGUCAGACUUAGGACCUGGCCUCUUCCAGCAUGACUGCAUCCUAACGUGAUUACAUCGGCUAAAAGCCUGUUUCCCAAUAAGGUCGCAUUCACAGGACGUCCAUACACCUUGGGCUUUGGCUCCUGGUCUGGCCACUCACUGGACCAAGACAGUGGACCUCGGACAAGAUGCAGAACUUCUUGGUGCCUCAGUUUCCUCAUUUACAACGAAAAUACCAAAGGCGCCAAUUCAUAGAGUUGCUCGUGGAUGCAGCACUUAUAACUGUGCCCGAUCCCAGCAGGAUGGAGGUAUCAACAGUGGACUGGGAGCACGUGGAAGUUCUACCUGUCCAGACCUGAUCCCCCUGCUUCCCAUUCGAUUUCAAGAGCUGCUGAUGGUAGCCGCUGUGUCAGAAAGUGAGUGAAGAGAUCCUGAAUAUUCAGACCUGCAGCUGCCGAGGACAAGGUCGCCGCACCAAAGUGAUGAGCUGGGAGCUAGUGCUGGUCAGAUGAGAGCAUGUAGAUUGCAGGGUCACCAGGAUGGCAAAGAGACUGAUGUGCAGAGCGAACAAAGGGACCAGGGAUGCAGGGCUGCACAGACUGGAGGAGAGAAGUAUCAUAGGGAACAACCCCCUGGCCAGACACUGUAUAGGGAAAGGAGCAGAGACAGUCUAGGGUGUGGGUUUAGUGUCACCUGGACCAAAUGAUUUGGUACAGAAAAAGCCACAAAAUUUGCUUCCUCUUCCUCGAGCUUCUGGGAAGUCUCCUAAGCCUUUCAAAGGUGGAAGGUGCUGCCUUCGAGGAAGUGAGCUCCCUGUCAAUGCAGAUAAUCAAGCAGUGGCCAUUGGGUGGGCAUUUAAAUAUGGGGUGCCACCAUCACAACUCAUCCAAACCUGACCGGCUUGCCAUUGUCCUGUGAGUAGCCUGCCUUCUUACCUGUGAAAUGAGGGGAAGGACCAGAACAUGAUCCAGACCUCUAUGCUCCACAGCCCUGUGUUCAGAUCCCAUUUUUUUAAACCUGAUUCUGACUAUAUGGCAUCUAAUUUUAUAUAUGUAAAGCACUCCCUAUUAUUCCGAGUACUUGCCUAUCCAUGAUCUCAUGAUCUCUUCCCCAUCAUUCUGAGAAGUGCGUAGAACACGGAUGAUCACAGAGGCAAGGGAGUUCUAGGGGAGGUUGCGAAGGUUACUGGUGACUUAAUGGUAGAGCCAGUGCAGCGACCAGGUCUGGGGUCUGCCAGCCCACCAUCCACACUUGUGCAUGGUGUGUUCACUGGGCAGAUCAGGGCUUGGAGAGGGGUUAUCCGUUAGAAGUACCAUGAAAUGAAAAAAACAGGCUGAUUGUUGGUUGCAUUCAGCUUUGAACUUUGUGGUUAAACUCUGAGACACAAAGUUGCCAAACACAAGUGGGUCUUGUAAAAGUGAUUCAUGCCCAGGAAUCUGGGUGGGUACAAGUUGAAUAAUAAAAGGGUCUGGUAAACC